UACGGGGGGGGCAAGCGUUGUUCGGAAUUACUGGGCGUAAAGGGCUCGUAGGCGGCCAACUAAGUCCGACGUGAAAUCCCAAGGCUUAACCUUGGAACUGCAUCCGAUACUGGAUGGCUUGAAUCCGGGAGAGGGAUGCAGAAUUCCAGGUGUAGCGGUGAAAUGCGUAGAUAUCAGGAGGAACACCGGUGGCGAAGGCGGGUCUCUGGGCCGAUACUGACGCUGAGGAGCGAAAGCGUGGGGAGCGAACAGG
rnacentral:rRNA from 1 species